rnacentral:rRNA from 1 species
AUUGAACGCUGGCGGAAUGCUUUACACAUGCAAGUCGAACGGCAGCACGGGGGCAGCCCUGGUGGCGAGUGGCGAACGGGUGAGUAAUACAUCGGAACGUGCCCGGUCGUGGGGGAUAACGUAGCGAAAGCUACGCUAAUACCGCAUACGAUCUGAGGAUGAAAGCGGGGGACCUUCGGGCCUCGCGCGAUCGGAGCGGCCGAUGGCAGAUUAGGUAGUUGGUGGGGUAAAGGCCUACCAAGCCGACGAUCGGUAGCUGGUCUGAGAGGACGACCAGCCACACUGGGACUGAGACACGGCCCAGACUCCUACGGGAGGCAGCAGUGGGGAAUUUUGGACAAUGGGCGCAAGCCUGAUCCAGCCAUUCCGCGUGCAGGACGAAGGCCUUCGGGUUGUAAACUGCUUUUGUACGGAACGAAAAGGCUCUGGCUAAUACCUGGGGCUCAUGACGGUACCGUAAGAAUAAGCACCGGCUAACUACGUG